rnacentral:rRNA from 1 species
CCUACGGGAGGCAGCAGUGAGGAAUAUUGGUCAAUGGACGAGAGUCUGAACCAGCCAAGUAGCGUGAAGGAUGACUGCCCUAUGGGUUGUAAACUUCUUUUAUAAAGGAAUAAAACGAGGCACGUGUGCCUUUUUGCAUGUACUUUAUGAAUAAGGAUCGGCUAACUCCGUGCCAGCAGCCGCGGUAAUACGGAGGAUCCGAGCGUUAUCCGGAUUUAUUGGGUUUAAAGGGAGCGUAGAUGGGUUGUUAAGUCAGUUGUGAAAGGUUGCGGCUCAACCGUAAAAUUGCAAUUGAUACUGGCAGUCUUGAGUACAGUUGAGGGAGGCGGAAUUCGUGGUGUAGCGGUGAAAUGCUUAGAUAUCACGAAGAACCCCGAUUGCGAAGGCAGCUUACUAAACUGUGACUGACAUUGAUGCUCGAAAGUGUGGGUAUCAAACAGGAUUAGAUACCCGAGUAGUC